UGACAGGUCGCUAUAGCGAGUGACGAUGUCAUCUCGGUCGCUAUAGCGAGUGGAAGGGAGCCAAGACGAGUCCAUCUUGUUUUCGUCGUAAGAUCUCAACGGAAACUCCGAUUGAGGCGAAAGGAAAAGCGUUUCGAUGAGGAUUCAAAGGAGAACGCAAAGGAGGACCUCUUUAAGACCUGACAGGUCGCUAUAGCGAGUGAGGAUGUUAUCUCGGUCGCUAUUGCGAGUGAAAGGGAGCCAAGACGAGUCCCACUUAUUUUCGUCGUAAAAUCUCAACGGAAACUCCGAUUGAGACGAAACGAAAAGCGUUUUGAUGAGGAUACAAAGGAGAACGCAAAGGAGGAUCCUUUUGAGGCCUUACAGGUCGCUAGGUAGCGACUGACAAUCUGACAAGUCGCUACGUAGCGAGUGGAAGCAAGCCAAGAAGAGUCCUACUUGUUUUCGUCGUAAAAUCUCAACGGAAACUCCGAUUGAGACGAAACGAAAAGCGUUUCGACGAGGAUUCAAAAGACAA